rnacentral:rRNA from 1 species
GACGAACGCUGGCGGCGUGCUUAAUACAUGCAAGUCGAGCGAUGAAGUGCGUUGCUUUCUGGUGGGUGGGGAGGAGUGGCGAGGGGGGGAAUACCACGUGAGUAUCCUUCUCCGAUCUUGUGAAUAUCCGGAUGCCAGUGCGGCUAAUGCGGAAUAUUCUGAAUCGGUCGCUUGAUGGGUCUGAGACGGUUAUUCUUUCGGUGGUGGAUGGACCCGCGCCGUAUUAGCUGGUUGGUGGGGUGAUGGCUUACCAAGGCGACGAUGCGUAGCCGACGUGAGAGGAGGAUCGGCCACACUAGAACUGAGACAAGGCCCAGACUCCUACGGGAGGCAGCAGUAGGGAAUAUUACGCAAUGGGCGAAAGCCUGACGGAGCAACGCCGCGUGAGUGAUGAAGGUCUUCGGAUGGUAAAGCACUGUUAUUAGGGAAGAAGGAGUGUGUACUAAUUUCUGGCUGUCUUGACGGUACCUAAACAGAAAGCCACGGCUAACUACGUG